CAUGGGAGUUGGUUUUACCCGAAGACGGUAUCCUAACCUUUUAGGAGGGAGCCGGCCACGGUAGGGUCAGCGACUGGGGUGAAGUCGUAACAAGGUAGCCGUAGGGGAACCUGCGGCUGGAUCACCUCCUUUCUAAGGAAAGUAUAGAAUGUAAACGCCGCCGUCUUUGAAUCUCUUCUUCUUAAACUUGAAAUAAAAGUUUGCUACAGCUAAAGGCGCGUAGCUCAGUUGGUUAGAGCGCACGACUGAUAAUCGUGAGGUCGGCAGUUCAAAUCUGCCCGUGCCUACCACUGUUUCUAGUAAGUUUAAGAUAUAUUAAUAGUUGAGAUAAGAAUUGAUGUAAUAUCAAUCUGAUUGAAAUAGUUGGUGAAGAUGAUCCCAAAUAAUAGGGCAAUAUAGCACAAUAUAUUGUCCAGCUUACGGAUUGUACUUAAAAUUACAUUUUCAAGAUUAUGUUUUUUUAAAGUAGUAAUGGUUGUCUGACCAGUUACUACUUUCAUGUACGGUCCGAUCAAGCGUCUUGAAGAGCAUUUGGUGGAUGCCUUGGUACAGAGAGGCGAUGAAGGACGUGACACGCUGCGAUAAGCUGUGGGGAGCCGUGAGUAGGCUUUGAUCCGCAGAUU
rnacentral:misc_RNA from 1 species